rnacentral:rRNA from 1 species
UACGGGGGGGGCAAGCGUUGUCCGGAAUUAUUGGGCGUAAAGGGCGCGUAGGCGGAAUAGUAAGUCAGAGGUGAAAUUCUUGCGCUUAACGCAGGAACUGCCUUUGAUACUGCUGUUCUUGAGUAUGGAAGAGGGAAGUGGAAUUCCCGGUGUAGCGGUGAAAUGCGUAGAUAUCGGGAAGAACACCGGUAGCGUAAGCGGCUUCCUGGUCCAUUACUGACGCUGAGGCGCGAAAGUGUGGGGAGCAAACAGG